GUGAAUGAUACUGUUUUCACGAGAGCAGGUUAGUUAUAAAAGUGAGUUGGGCUCCUCUUGCCCUCUCUCCUGUGUUCUCUGGCAUGUGGUACCUUUCACGAAACACCAGAUGGACUAAGACAACUACUUAAUCAUCACAACAAACUUAUUGAGGAACCCUAUUUUUACCAGCAUUUAUAAAAUGAGAAAACUCAAACACAGAGGGAUAUGCAACCGCCGAAAUUCACACGAUUCACCAUUGUGCUCUCCAGCUGGCUCUGAAGAAGCAAGCCACCACAUUGCUCACUGCUCAUGGAGAGGAACACACGUGGAGAAACUGUGCAUAGCCUCCAGGAGCUGAGUGUAGCUUCCAGGUGACAGUCAGGAAAAAUCUAGAGCUCUCAGUCCUACUACCGAGUCCACCCUCAAGAAACUGCUGUAUCACCAUACUCUUCUAAUACUCUAAGAAUUCUUCUUCAUAUGUAUCUGCUCCUAUUUUCUGCCUCGGUGGUUGUUCAGCAUUAAUUCAGGAGGAUUCAGAGAAAAACAGUAAAGUUGGUGUCCAGGGGCAUUUACUUCGAAACAAACUGGCCGGCUGUCUCCCAAAAGGUCUCGUAGGGUAAAAUGGAUCAUGCUGCAAUCAUAAAACUCCAGUCUGUAAUUCCAUGACAGAAUUCAUAUCUCCAAAAACUCAUGGACGGAAAAUGUUUUACUUGUCACAGCAUAGUAAAGAUAAUGAAAUCUAUGCAUUUUUUAGAACUACUUGAAGAAAUAUCUCAUUGAAUCAAUUCAAGAUUAUUAAAAUCUCUUAGGUGAUAUCAAAUGAUCCCAAGUGAGGGUCCUGGAAUAAUAAAAUAUAGCCCUGUGACUUAGAGGCCCAGAGGAGUGAAUUUCAGGAAGGAAAAUAUGGUCAACCAUAUCUAAUUCUGAAAAGUGGUCAAGUAAAGGCCAGUUGGGUUAUCCUUCUUGUUUCAUUGUUUGUCCUGCUUAAAAUUGAGAAUGAACAGAGACUCAUUGAUUUCAUCUUCUGAAUUUGAAAAGAAUGACACACAUUGCCCUGCAAUUCAGGUCUGACUUCAGCUGCAGGAAGACAGACCCCCAACCCAGAACAACCCUGCGUGGGGAAUCCUUCCAGAAAAGGCUAAGCAAAAUACAACACUGGAAUUUGGGGAGGGGCUUGGAGAGUUUGUUUUUAAAAGUCUUGAGCAAUAAGUCAUCUAACCACAAGAGUAAGAAAA